GCGGCCCAUAUGUCCUCCACGAAGCAAGCAGGAUAAUCGCUUGUGGCAAGAGACCUCCUUCCUCGGUGGAGCGAGCAGGAAAACCAUCCAGUUGAGAAUUGGAAGAAGAGGAGGAAUAUAAGAUGAUUGGGUCGAUAGGUAGAAGAAGAAGAAGAAGAAGAUGCAGAGAGGCACUUCUUGCUUAGGUUCUUGAAACUGAUUAGGGUGGAUUCUUGAGCAGUCACACCGUCAACAGCAUCAUGGCAAAUAUCAGGUACAUUUUUAUUACAGAAGGCCAAUUGAUCAUUACAUACUACUCCUAAGAUAGCCAGACCAGUUAAAUACUACUCCUAAGUUAACUUGAGGUUGUGGCAGUUUGUAAGGGCAUUACGUUGAGACAAUGGAUACUUUACCUAUGAUAGUUAAUAAUUAAGCAUCAAGAUGCAGAUUUUACUUAGUUUAACGAUAUUUCAUAGCUAUGAAUGGGGCACUGCAAUGGCUUGUUUACUCUAUAAACUUGUGGUAAUACAAUAUUGUUGCCUG